ACAACCUAAACGAGAAUUGAAGGUCUCGUCAUUUGUAAUACAACGGUAAAAAGUCUAACGAAAUCAGACGUCGGAUGAAGAAGUUAUGAAUUUUUAACGGAUUUUCAUGUCCCGGUCUGUUAAAAAUAAUAAUAUUAAAAUUAAAUUCAAAAUUAGCCGACGAAGUCUAAACGAAAGUUGUAGAGCAUAAUUUUAGCUACGCCUGCAUAUAAAGAACGUCAAAAACGGAGCUCGUAUGCAAAAGUUAUGGAUUUUCAAGAGUUGGCACAUUUUUCGAGAAAAUUCGCAUGAAUAGUACUGCCACGUCAGCCCUCGCAUACAGCCUCCACGUGUCACCUUCUGAUAGGACCGAGGUUGCUGUGUCGCCUUCUGAUUGGACCAAGUCCGAGGUCCACUAAGCUUGGGACACCUUCGCAUGAGACACCUCCGAUUACCCUCGCACCAACGUGGAGCCUGCCCAUUGGACCGAAGUUGGGUCCAAUCCGAGGCUGCCGUCAGCGAGCCUGCUGUUCCGAGCCGAUGACGCGCCUGAAGCUGAUGACUCCUCGCAUUCGAAUCUCGCCGAAGCUUCCAUCUAGUCCGAGCCUCGCAGCCACCUGCCCUCUUCCCUUCGCUUCGGAUCCGAACCUCGACCCUAUAUAAGGGGUGCGAGACCUCCCGGGUAAAUGUUUGAAAUUCGCCCCUUUUCACCCCUAAACUUAUAUUUCUUCUACUUCCACUUCCCCCGAAGCCCCGGUACUGAUUCCAAAGCCCGAAACACGUCCCGAGACUCCCGAGAAGCCCGAAAUAUUUAUCUUUCCGAUUUCGAAGCUCUACCUUCGCAGAGUCCGGUUUUCAACGACGAAAGUCAUAUUUAGAGCCAAAGUACUGCCCAAAUUAAUAUUUUAGCCCCCGGUUAUUUCACGGUGAGUUUAAUAUAUAGAGACAAUUGUAUGUUAUAUGUUAUAUGUGCUACGUGCUUUUCCGUGUUAUUAUUCCGGGUUAUUUUUAUUUGCUAUUUUUAAUAGCAAAGAAAUACCUUUGACCAUGUGAUCACUGAAAGGACUUAGAUUCACGUUGGUACUGGUAUGUAGCCUCUGGCCAUGUAUAACAUGCCUCCGUAAAAGAAUGAAUUCUAUUCUAUGGUAUUUGCAGAAGGUUAGACAGGGCUUUAAGCCUGAAAUCUACCAAAAUGUUAAUCCGAAGUUGUAUAUCUUCUGUGCCGUUUGGGCCAAAGCUUUAUUGAUGUAUAUCAAGCAUGGAAAUUGUUAUGUCUCAUUGAUUGUAUAUCUUGAAAUCAAAUCAAUGAUUGAUAUUGAAUGUUUGUCACAUGAUUCACAUAUGCCCUUGUUGUUCCUUGUUCCUCUUUGCUUCUGCCAUAUUAAAGUAUAUAUGUGGCAUAACGUUGUAUUGUAUCUAUUAUUGAAUUCACUAAGCGUCACCGGUUACCCUCUCAAUAUUUAACAAAUUGCAGGAGAUAAGCAUCCAGUAUAGUUAUAUACUGGUAGAAGAUUUUUGAAUAGUUUGAAACUAUUGUAUCGAUAGAAGCUUCUGAAUAGUUUGAAACUAUUGUAUUUUGCACUCCCAUAUGUAUAAAACUAUAGAAUCCUGGGAAGUUAUGUAAUAUAUAACACUUUAAAAUAGUCGGUUUGUAUCCAGUAGUUUGUAACCUCUUUAUCAAUGUAAAAUAUUGUUUUUAUGAAUAUGCAAGUAGCAUGUUUUGGAGUAACUAUAUUGUCGAGUAUGAAAGUUUGGGUCUUUCAUAAAUACGAAAGUUAGGGUCUUUCAAUCAUGGUAUCAGAGCAGUAGUUUGAGCGAACUAAAUUCCACGGAUUGGUAUUUAGACUUAAACUCUUGGAAGUUUAAUAUAUGAACUAAAUCAUUGUAAGUAUAGGGAUACAAACCAUAGGAAAUAUAUAAGUAAAAGUAUUAGGUAAUAAUAAACCAUAUUCUAAAAUACAAUGUUACUCCGUAUUUUAGAGCAAUGGCUGAACAGGUUAGUAACCAUACCCCUGAGAUUGGUGGAGGUCCUCAACCAGAGGAAGUGAAUACUCCAGUAUCUCCUCGUGAGGAGCGUCUCUUGGGUAAACUUACCAGUGUUAUUCGACAGACUCUCGAAGAACACAAAAAGAAUGGUGAUAAGGGAAAAGAGAAAGCCACUAGAGAAUCUUCAAAAGGAGAGGUGAAGCGUCCCUCGUUCAAAGAUUUCAAGAGUAGUGGUGCUACAGAGUUUUCCGGUGUUCUCAAUCCCAUUAUUGUUCUUACUUGGAUCCAGAACACAGAGAAAGUGUUUCAUAUUUCUCAUGCUGAUAAUGAAGACAAGGCUAAUUAUGCUUCCGCAAUGCUCAUCGGAGAAGCCUUGGGCUGGUGGGAAGCAACAUAUGAAGCUUUCAACGGGUUUGACCAGGAGAAUCUAGCCUGGGAAAUGUUUAAAACCCGUUUGCUAGAGAAGUAUUGUCCUCUAGACAUGAGGAGGAGAUUGGAGAAGGAAUUCCUUGAGCUUAAACAAGGAGGAAUGACUGUGAAUGAGUAUGAAACUCAGUUUAAUCAAAGAGCAAGGUUUGCUACGAAGUAUAUUCCAACUGAAGACGAGAAAAUUCAGUUAUUCUUGGAAGGACUACAACACGAAAUCCACAAUUUCGUUGCCAAUCCGGAAGUUCUGUCAUUCGAUAAAGCCGUUGAAUAUGCUCGAAGAUGUGAGCAUGACUUAGAAAUAUGUGGUGCCACUGUUACUGCUCCGAAGCAUCCACAUACUGAAAGAACUGUUCCUGUUCCUUCUUUUCUACCAGCUCAAUCCAUUCGGUCUGAACCUGGUAAUCAAGUUCAAACUCAAAGUGUCUCUCGUGGACGCGGUAGAUCACAAUCCUUUUCUAUGCAAUCGCCUUCAUGUCGUAUUUGUGGAAGGAAUCAUCCGGGCCAAUGCAAAAUAGACAAGGAAUCCAUUGUCUGUUAUGCAUGCGGAGAAAAGGGUCAUAUAAAGCCAGCUUGCCCAAGAAAGGAUGUUACUUGCUAUGCAUGUGGUAUUACUGGCCACAAGAAGCGUUUUUGCCCUACUCUUACUAGUCAGAUGACGGGAAGUCAAGCUUCUGUUCAAAAACCGCCGAGAAGCCAAGUCCCUGUUCAACAAUCAAAGGGUACUCCAGCUAAAAAGGAGGAGGUGCCAAAAGCUAGGGGUCGUGCAUUCCAGAUUACCUCAGAGGAGGCACACGAGGACCCGAAUGUUGUGACGGGGAAAUUUCUUGUCAAAUCUAGACCUGCUCACUUCUUAUUUGAUUCUGGUGCCUCAGAUUCUUUUGUGUCUUACGAAUUUGCGCAUUCCUUUCAAAUUGCUUGCUUUGUACUCGCGCAACCAUUUCACGUAGAUACUAUGGGAAGUAUAUCAUUACUUGCUGAUAAAGUCUAUAGGGAUUGUGUUAUAGAAAUUGAAGGCUAUACUUUUCUCGCUAACCUGAUCCCUAUCUCCUUGCCCAACUUUGAUAUUAUUCUCGGCAUGGAUUGGUUAUCAAAGAACCACACAUAACUCUUGUGCUAUGAAAAGAUAGUACGCAUUCCUAUUGAAGCGGAGAAUCCUAUCUAUGUCUACAGUGAACAAAGACUCUUAAAAAUAAUUUUUUUCCUGAAAGCUCGUAAAUUCAUAUCGAAAGGGUGUUCUAUCUAUCUGGCCUACACAGUAGAUGUCUCAAAAGAAGAGAAGAAAAUUGUAAAUGAUGUUCUAGUUGUUAACGAAUAUCCUGACGUUUUCCCCGAUGACUUGCAUGGCCUUCCUCCGGAUAGGCAAGUAGAAUUCCGAAGUGACCUUGUGCCUGGUGCUGCUCCAAUUGCAAAGACUGCUUAUCGUCUUGCGCCAGCUGAGAUGAAAGAAAUGAUGAUCCAACUGCAAGAACUUCUUGACAAGGGUUUCAUUCGACCGAGUACCUCUCCCUGGGGUGCUCCGGUACUGUUUGUCAAGAAGAAAGAUGGAUCGAUGCGGAUGUGCAUUGAUUACCGUGAGUUGAAUAAGGUGGCUAUCAAGAACAAGUACCCACUACCUCGCAUCGACGAUUUGUUCGAUCAACUUCAGGGUGUUAGCUAUUUCUCAAAAAUUGAUUUAAGAUCUGGCUAUCAUCAGUUGAAAGUUCACGAGCAGGAUGUACCGAAGACUGCUUUUCGUACUCGAUAUGGGCAUUAUGAAUUCCUUGUUAUGCCGUUUGGUUUAACAAACGCUCCGGCUGUAUUCAUGGAUAUGAUGAAUCGGGUAUGCCGCCCAAUGCUCGAUAAAUCAGUCAUCGUAUUCAUUGAUGAUAUUCUAAUCUAUUCCAAGUCUGAAGCUGAUCAUGCCAUUCAUAUUCGUGCGGUAUUGGAACUUCUUCGAAAGGAGAAACUAUAUGCUAAAUUCUCGAAAUGUGAAUUUUGGCUUCGCCAAGUUCAAUUUCUCGGCCAUGUUAUUUCUAGUGAUGGUGUAUCCGUAGAUCCUAUCAAAAUCGAAGCCAUUCAAAAUUGGGAAGUGCCCCGUAAUGCUUCCGAAAUUCGUAGUUUCUUAGGUCUCGCGGGAUAUUACCGGAGAUUCAUUAAAGACUUUUCUCGUAUAGCCGUACCUCUCACGAGUCUUACACGGAAAGAAGUGAAGUUCGAAUGGGGUGAAACCCAAGAAAGAGCUUUCUCAACUCUAAAAGAUCUUUUGACUCAUGCUCCAAUCUUAUCACUCCCAGAAGGUGAUGAUGACUUCUCCGUAUAUAGCGAUGCUUCAAGAUUGGGACUCGGUUGUGUGUUGAUGCAACGUGGCAAAGUGAUAGCCUAUGCCUCAAGACAAAAGAAAGAUUAUGAAAAGAAUUAUCCCACUAAUGAUCUCGAACUCGCUGCAAUGGUAUUUGCCCUAAAACUUUGGAGGCAUUAUCUUUUUGGUACAAAGUGCCAAUUAUUUACCGACCACAAAAGUCUCAAGUACAUAUUCAGUCAGCAAACUUUGAAUAUGAGACGACAACGAUCCAUGGAGCUGAUCAAAGAUUAUGAUUCUGAAAUCCUAUAUCAUCCUGGAAAAGCUAACGUGGUUGCUGAUGCACUUAGCAGAAAAGUUUAUCGCAAUAGUAUGUGUUAUGCCAUUACUCAUACUACAGUAAAAUUCACUAUUUUAGAUGAAUUAGAGAAAUGGAAAGAAGAGGCCCUAAAGUCGGAAAAUGUGAAGAAAGAAGGGAUGAUACAUUAUAAUGAUGCUCUACUUGAUGAUCCGCGAGGAUUAAAAGUAUUCAAGAAUCGACUGUGGAUUCCAAAGAUUGGUGGAUUGAGACAGAAGAUUUUAGAUGAAGCCCAUAAAUCUAAACUGUCAAUCCAUCCUGGUACAAGUAAAAUGUACUAUGAUGUAAGAGCUGAUUAUUGGUGGCCUGGAUUAAAGAGAGACAUUGGAAGAUAUGUACAGGAAUGCUUAGUAUGCUUACAAGUCAAAGCAGAGCACCAAAAGCCUUAUGGAACCCUAGAAAGUCUUAGUGUUCCUGUAUGGAAAUGGGAGGAAUUGUCCAUGGAUUUUAUUACCAAAUUGCCAAAGACUGCUAGACAGCAUGAUAGCAGUUGGGUAAUUGUCGACCGCCUGACUAAAAGCGCUCAUUUUCUUGCCAUGCGUGAAACGGCUCCAAUGGAGAAAUAUGCACAAGUAUACUUAGAUGAAAUUGUGGCAAGACAUGGUGUGCCACUAAAGAUCAUUUCCGAUCGUGAUACUCGCUUCAUUUCUCACUUUUGGGCGAGUAUGCAACGUGAAUUAGGAUCUUCAAUUGCUCUCAGCACAGCUUAUCAUCCCCAGACAGAUGGUCAAACGGAGAGAACAAUCCAAACAGUAGACAUAUGCUACAAAAAGCUAAUAAGNCAUAGGACAGAAGAUCCUUGGAGGCCCUGAAAUGAUUCAAGACACCACCGACAAAAUUCAAAUCGUACGAGAAAGAAUGAAAGCGGCCCAGGAUCGACAGAAGUCCUAUACAGAAAAGAGAAGACGACCCAUAGAAUUCCAAGUGGGUGAUUUCGUGAUGCUGAAGGUAUCUCCAUGGAAAGGCCUUAUGAGAUUUGGGAAGAAAGGAAAGUUAAGUCCUAGAUUUGUUGGUCCUUUCAAAAUCAUCCAGAGAAUUGGAAAGCAAGCAUACCGCUUAGAAUUACCUGAAGAUUUGGCAGGUAUUCAUGAUGUGUUUCAUGUGAGCUAUCUGCGCAAAUGCUUGAGCAUCAAUGAUGAGACAGUUCCAUUAUCCGAGGUGAAAUUGGAUAAUAAGUUAAGAUAUGUAGAAGAGCCGGAAGAGAUCGUGAAUGAAAGAACAACUAAUCUACGUAAUAAAGAAGUGGAGUUGGUGCUUGUCAAGUGGAAACACCAUCGAGGCCCAAAUUAUACUUGGGAAAAUAAGAAUGAGAUAAGAGCAAAAUAUCCCCAUUUAUUUUAAUCGAUGUAAUUUCGGGGACGAAAUCCUCAAAAGGAGGAGGUAUUUGUAACAUACACGUUUUGAAAUCGUGUUUUAAGUAAAUAAUAUUAUGAAAUAUUAAGUGAAUUUGAAUGUUGAGUUCUAACAGAUAGUUUUUACUAGAAAUGAAGUAAAACUAUGUUUAGAAUCACUCAUAAAAUGUUGGAAGUCUUAUGAGAUUCCAAUUAAAAACCAAAUACUGAAAUAUAGCGAAAAUAUAAAAUUUGGAAUAAGUAAAAUUUUAUUAUUGAAAGUUGUAGAUAAUCUCGUUAGAAACAUUUAGGCGAAACCUCGUCGAAAUCCGAGUUAUAACGAAUAAGUUAUGACCAAACGAAGAUCCGUAAUAAAUCCGGAAAAUACUUUGUCGCGUAAAAAUUUAGUUUUCGAUAAACUAAUUUUUAGCCUUAGUGAUGUAAAUGAAAGUUGUAGAACUCGUGAAAAUAAUCAACUUUCAUAUAAAGAACGCCAAAAUCUGACUUCGUAUGAGGAAGUUAUGAUUUUUCGAAGUUUCAGCUUAGCAGUAGAUAACUAAAAACUCGAAUUUUAGAUCGAGUGAUUUUUAGCUGACACAACCUAAACGAGAAUUGAAGGUCUCGUCAUUUGUAAUACAACGGUAAAAAGUUUGACGAAAUCAGACGUCGGAUGAAGAAGUUAUGAAUUUUUAACGGAUUUUCAUGUCCCGGUCUGUUAAAAAUAAUAAUAUUAAAAUUAAAAUCAAAAUUAGCCGACGAAGUCUAAACAAAAGUUGUAGAGCAUAAUUUUAGCUACGCGCGCAUUUAAAGAACGUCAAAAACGGAGCUCGUAUGCAAAAGUUAUGGAUUUUACAAGGUUUGGCACAUUUUUCGAGAAAAUCCGCAUGAAUAGUACUGCCACGUCAGCCCUCGCAUACAGCCUCCACGUGUCACCUUCUGUUAGGACCGAGGUUGCUGUGUCGCCUACUGAUUGGACCAAGUCCGAGGUCCACUAAGCUUGGGACACCUUCGCAUGAGACACCUCCGGAUCACCCUCGCACUAACGUGGAGCCUGCCCAUUGGACCGAAGUUGGGUCCAAUCCGAGACUGGCGUCAGCGAGCCUGCUGUUCCGAGCCGAUGACGCGCCUGAAGCUGAUGACUCCUCGCAUCCGAACCUCGCCGAAACUGCCAUCUGGUCCGAGCCUCGCAGCCACCUGCCCUCUUCCCUUCGCUUUGGAUCCGAACCUCGGCCCUAUAUAAGGGGCGCGAGACCUCCCGGGUAAAUGUUUGAAAUUUGCCCCUUUUCACCCCUAAACUUAUAUUUCUUCUACUUCCACUUCCCCCGAAGCCCCGGUACUGAUUCCAAAGCCCGAAACACGCCCCGAGACUCCCGAGAAGCCCAAAAA
rnacentral:lncRNA from 1 species